ensembl:lncRNA
CUGAGAUCCGUGGGGCUGCAGUGAGCCGUGGGGCCUACUGAGGUCUGUGCGGCCUGCCGAGAUCUGUGGGGCCUGCAGUGAUCCAUGGGGCUGCUGAGAUCUGUGGGGCUGCUGAGAUCUAUGGGGCCUGCAGUGAUCCAUGGGGCUGCUGUGAUCCAUGGGGCUGCUGAGAUCUAUGGGGCUGCUGUGAUCUGUGGGGCCUCCGUGAUCCAUGGGGUCUACAGUGAUCUGUGGGGCCUGCAGCGAUCUACGGGGCUGCUGAGAUCUAUGGGGCCUGCAGUGAUCUAUGGGGCUGCUGAGAUCUAUGGGGCCUGCAGUGAUCCAUGGGGUCUACAGUGAUCUGUGGGGCCUGCAGUGAUCUGUGGGGCUGCUGAGAUCCAUGGGGCUGCUGAGAUCUGCGGGGCCUGCAGUGAUCUGUGGGGCCUGCAGUGAUCCAUGGGGUCUACAGUGAUCUGUGGGGCUGCUGUGAUCUGUGGGGCCUGCUAUGUCCUAUGGGGCUGCUGUGAUCUGUGCGGCCUGCAGUGAUCCAUGGGGUCUACAAUGAUCUAUGGGGCCUGCAGUGAUCCAUGGGGCCUACUGAGAUCUCCGGGGCCUGCAGUGAACUAUGGGGCUGCUGAGAUCUAUGGGGCUGCUGUGAUCCAUGGGGUCUACAAUGAUCUGUGGGGCCUGCAGUGAUCUGUGCGGCCUGCAGUGAUCUGUGGGGCCUGCUGAGAUCUAUGGGGCUGCUGUGAUCUGUGGGGCCUCCAUGAUCCAUGGGGUUUACAGUGAUCUGUGGGGCCUGCAGUGAUCUGUGGGGAUGCUGAGAUCCAUGGAGCCUGCUGUGAUCUGUGGGGCCUGCAGUGAUCCAUGGGGUCUACAGUGAUCUGUGGGGCCUGCAGCAAUCUAUGGGGCCUGCUGAGAUCUGUGGGUCUGCUGAGAUCUGUGGGGCUGCAGUGAGCCAUGGGGCCUACUGAGAUCUGUGGGGCCUGCAGUGAACUAUGGGGCUGCUGAGAUCUAUGGGGCUGCUGCGAUCUGUGGGGCCUGCAGUGAUCCAUGGGGUCUACAGUGAUCUGUGGGGCCUGCAGUGAUCUGUGGGGCUGCUGAGAUCCAUGGGGCUGCUGAGAUCUGUGGGGCCUGCAGUGAUCUGUGGGGCCUGCAGUGAUCCAUGGGGUCUACAGUGAUCUGUGGGGCUGCUGAGGUCUGUGCGGCCUGCAGUGAUCUAUGGGGCCUGCUGAGAUCUAUGGGGCUGCUGUGAUCUGUGGGGCCUGCAGUGAUCCAUGGGGUCUACAGUGAUCUGUGGGGCCUGCUGAGAUCUAUGGGUCUGCUGAGAUCUGUGGGGCUUACUGAGAUCUAUGGGGCUGCAGUGAGCCAUGGGGCCUGCUGAGAUCUAUGGGGCCUGCAGUGAUCCAUGGGGCCUGCUGAGAUCUAUGGGGCUGCUGUGAUCUGCGGGGCCUGCUGAGAUCUGUGGGGCUGCUGAGAUCCGUGGGGCCUGCUAUGACCUAUGGGGCCUGCUGAGAUCUGUGGGGCCUGCCGUGAUCUGUGGGGCCUGCUGUGAUCUGUGGGGCCUGCUGAGAUCUAUGGGGCCUGCUGCGAUCUAUGGGGCUGCAGUGAUCUGUGGGGCCUGCUGUGAUCUGUGGGGCCUGCAGUGAUCCAUGGAGCCUACAGUGAUCUGUGGGGCUGCUGUGAUCCAUGGGGCCUGCUGUGAUCUGUGGGGCCUACUGAGAUCUGUGCGGCCUGCUGAGAUCUGUGGGGCCUGCUGUGAUCUGUGGGGCUGCUGAGAUCUAUGGGACUGCUGAGAUCUAUGGGGCUGCUGUGAUCUGUGGGGCCUGCAGUGAUCUGUGGGGCUGCUGAGAUCCGUGGGGCUGCUGAGAGCUGUGGGGCCUGCAGUGAUCCAUGGAGCCUGCUGAGAUCUAUGGGGCUGCUGAGAUCUAUGGGGCUGCUGACAUCUCUGGGGC